AGACAAUAUGAAUUAUCCAAAUAGUGUGCAACAACAGAAAUGUAACUAGUCUUUUGAUGUGAUGAAGUCCAAAUAUCUGAAGUUAAAGCAAACGAAAACUGAACUUUUUUAAAAUUUUCUUUAAGAACAACAAGUUGUUUCUGAUACUGAGCAAUAAUUUCUUCACGAGCUAAUUGUGGAUUGUAAACCCAAGUACUUACAAUGCCGUCCGCAGCAAAGUUUAGUUGAGUUUGCAUACCUGCACCAAAAGUUUGCCCUGCCUUUUUUAAACAAGCUUUGAAGUGUCGAUUCAAAUGCCCAGUGCCACCAGCAGAAUCUGCACUCAACUCAUUUUUACAAUAGUGACAUAUAGCAAUAUAACUUUUUAUACCAUCCUCGAUAAUCUCCCGCUUAUCCAUAUGCUUCCAGCAUUCUGCCCAAGAAACAGAUGGUUUAGCACCCUUUACUGGCACAUCAACACCAAUAUCCCCAUCUGCUGGUAAGGAACUAGAACCAGACUCAGCCCCUCUACUACCAUCUACUAGUACUAGUAAUGAAAAGGAACUAAAACCAGAUACAGGCUCAGUGCCACCACAAUCUGUUAGUACUCGUAAGGAGGGACUACAAACAGGUCGAGACCCAGGGACUUCAAUGGUAGGGGAGAAUUCACUAGAAAUAGGAUUGUUGGAAUCAUCUGUCCUACUACUACAAAAAGCUUUUCUACCAGCUACCCUCUUCCUCCCCAUUGUAGAGCAAAUGAAUAGGAUUCACUAGAAAUAGGAUUGCUGGUAAGGAAUCUAGCA
rnacentral:lncRNA from 1 species